AGUGAACGCUGGCGGCAGGCCUAACACAUGCAAGUCGAACGGCAGCACAGUAAGAGCUUGCUCUUACGGGUGGCGAGUGGCGGACGGGUGAGGAAUACAUCGGAAUCUACUUUUUCGUGGGGGAUAACGUAGGGAAACUUACGCUAAUACCGCAUACGACCUACGUGUGAAAGCAGGGGAUCUUCGGACCUUGCGGGAUUGAAUGAGCCGCUGUCGGAUUAGCUAGUUGGCGGGGUAAAGGCCCACCAAGGCGACGAUCCGUAGCUGGUCUGAGAGGAUGGUCAGCCACACUGGAACUGAGACACGGUCCAGACUCCUACGGGAGGCAGCAGUGGGGAAUAUUGGACAAGGGGCGCAAGCCUGAUCCAGCCAUACCGCGUGGGGGAAGAAGGCCUUCGGGUGGUAAAGCCCUUUUGUUGGGAAGGAAAAGCAGCAGGUUAAUACCCCGCUGUUCUGACGGUACCCAAAGAAUAAGCACCGGCUAACUUCGUG
rnacentral:rRNA from 1 species